rnacentral:lncRNA from 1 species
GGCCUGAUAUAUCCUACCACUACAGCGUCAAUCUGCGGGCGGCCUGCUGCAUCGUACCAGUUUAAUGUCAACCUGCGGAUGGCCUGAUAUAUCCUACCACUACAGCGUCAAUCUGCGGGCGGCCUGCUGCAUCGUACCAGUUUAAUGUCAACCUGCGGAUGGCCUGAUAUAUCCUACCACUACAGCGUCAAUCUGCGGGCGGCCUGCUGCAUCGUACCAGUUUAAUGUCAACCUGCGGAUGGCCUGAUAUAUCCUACCACUACAGCGUCAAUCUGCGGGCGGCCUGCUGCAUCGUACCAGUUUAAUGUCAACCUGCGGAUGGCCUGAUAUAUCCUACCACUACAGCGUCAAUCUGCGGGCGGCCUGCUGCAUCGUACCAGUUUAAUGUCAACCUGCGGAUGGCCUGAUAUAUCCUACCACUACAGCGUCAAUCUGCGGGCGGCCUGCUGCAUCGUACCAGUUUAAUGUCAACCUGCGGAUGGCCUGAUAUAUCCUACCACUACAGCGUCAAUCUGCGGGCGGCCUGCUGCAUCGUACCAGUUUAAUGUCAACCUGCGGAUGGCCUGAUAUAUCCUACCACUACAGCGUCAAUCUGCGGGCGGCCUGCUGCAUCGUACCAGUUUAAUGUCAACCUGCGGAUGGCCUGAUAUAUCCUACCACUACAGCGUCAAUCUGCGGGCGGCCUGCUGCAUCGUACCAGUUUAAUGUCAACCUGCGGAUGGCCUGAUAUAUCCUACCACUACAGCGUCAAUCUGCGGGCGGCCUGCUGCAUCGUACCAGUUUAAUGUCAACCUGCGGAUGGCCUGAUAUAUCCUACCACUACAGCGUCAAUCUGCGGGCGGCCUGCUGCAUCGUACCAGUUUAAUGUCAACCUGCGGAUGGCCUGAUAUAUCCUACCACUACAGCGUCAAUCUGCGGGCGGCCUGCUGCAUCGUACCAGUUUAAUGUCAACCUGCGGAUGGCCUGAUAUAUCCUACCACUACAGCGUCAAUCUGCGGGCGGCCUGCUGCAUCGUACCAGUUUAAUGUCAACCUGCGGAUGGCCUGAUAUAUCCUACCACUACAGCGUCAAUCUGCGGGCGGCCUGCUGCAUCGUACCAGUUUAAUGUCAACCUGCGGAUGGCCUGAUAUAUCCUACCACUACAGCGUCAAUCUGCGGGCGGCCUGCUGCAUCGUACCAGUUUAAUGUCAACCUGCGGAUGGCCUGAUAUAUCCUACCACUACAGCGUCAAUCUGCGGGCGGCCUGCUGCAUCGUACCAGUUUAAUGUCAACCUGCGGAUGGCCUGAUAUAUCCUACCACUACAGCGUCAAUCUGCGGGCGGCCUGCUGCAUCGUACCAGUUUAAUGUCAACCUGCGGAUGGCCUGAUAUAUCCUACCACUACAGCGUCAAUCUGCGGGCGGCCUGCUGCAUCGUACCAGUUUAAUGUCAACCUGCGGAUGGCCUGAUAUAUCCUACCACUACAGCGUCAAUCUGCGGGCGGCCUGCUGCAUCGUACCAGUUUAAUGUCAACCUGCGGAUGGCCUGAUAUAUCCUACCACUACAGCGUCAAUCUGCGGGCGGCCUGCUGCAUCGUACCAGUUUAAUGUCAACCUGCGGAUGGCCUGAUAUAUCCUACCACUACAGCGUCAAUCUGCGGGCGGCCUGCUGCAUCGUACCAGUUUAAUGUCAACCUGGGGAUGGCCUGAUAUAUCCUACCACUACAGCGUCAAUCUGCGGGCGGCCUGCUGCAUCGUACCAGUUUAAUGUCAACCUGCGGAUGGCCUGAUAUAUCCUACCACUACAGUGUCAAUGCCUGGGUGGCCUGCUUCAUCGUACCACUAUAGUGUCAACCUGUGGAUGGCCGUCUGAAUCAUACGGCUACAGUGUCAGUCUGUGGGUAGCUUGCUGUAUCGUACCACUACAGUCUGCAGCUGACCUGUUUUGCUGGUUGUGACUGUAGUUUCGUUUGGAAUACUCAAUGCUUCGAGGAAAUAUAUUUUUACUUUUAUUAAGUUACAGUCUUUUGUCCAUAUGGAUGAGUGUACGCACGGGUUUACUUGAUUCACAAAACAUAUCUAAGGUGAUGCCAAAAGACACUUAAUCUUUUGUAACAGUUUGUUUUCAUUUUUUAAUAAAAACAAUGCUUAGAUUUUGUGUAAUUUAUCAACGAUUGCAAGAUAUUUGAAAUAUCUGAAGUUAUAGAAUGUCAGUUGAUACAGGUGAAAUUAAGAUGCGCUCGGGAAUCUUCCCUUCUACUUACGCUAUGUCGUGUUAAUAUCCAAUUUAAAAGGCGAGAUGGAGCUGACAAACUUAAUUUUGUUAAUAAGGAAAUUGAUUUCACAAUAACAGUGUUUUUUCCCUAUUUCCAUGGAAACUAAUAUUUAGUGAAAAUUAAAGUUGAACAAAUGAAUAAAA